rnacentral:rRNA from 1 species
CAAUAGCGUAUAUUUAAGUUGCUGCAGUUAAAAAGCUCGUAGUUGGAUUUCGGGUGGGAAUGGCCGGUCCGCCGUUUCGGUGUGCACUUGCUACGCCCACCUUGCUGCCGGGGACGUGCUCUUGAGUUCACGCUCGGGACACGGAGUCGGCGAGGUUACUUUGAGUAAAUUAGAGUGUUCAAAGCAGGCUUAUGCCGUUGGAUACAUUAGCAUGGAAUAAUGAGAUAGGACCGUGGUGUUUUAUUUUGUUGGUUUGCACGCCAAGGUAAUGAUUAACAGGGACAGUUGGGGGUAUUCGUAUUCAAUUGUCAGAGGUGAAAUUCUUGGAUUUAUGGAAGACGAACUACUGCGAAAGCAUUUACCAAGGAUGUUUUCAUUAA